rnacentral:rRNA from 1 species
UACGGAGGGGGCUAGCGUUGUUCGGAAUUACUGGGCGUAAAGGGCGCGUAGGCGGGAUGGCAAGUCGGUCGUGAAAUCUCUCGGCUCAACCGAGAAACGUCGGCCGAUACUGCCGUUCUUGAGGGAUGCAGAGGAGACUGGAAUUCCCGGUGUAGCGGUGAAAUGUGUAGAGAUCGGGAGGAACACCGGUGGCGAAGGCGGGUCUCUGGGCAUUUCCUGACGCUGAGGCGCGAAAGCGUGGGGAGCAAACGGG